AGGGAAAUAGCUCAGUGGUAAAGUGCAUGUUUAGUAUGCAUGAGGUCCUGGGUUCAAUCCCCAGUACCUCAA
rnacentral:tRNA from 1 species